GGUUAGGUUUAGCUCGGUUGGUUAGAGCGUGGCACUCAUAAUGCCAAGGUUGUGGGUUCAAUCCCCGUAGCGGCCA